rnacentral:lncRNA from 1 species
UAUAAUAGAUGAGAGAAUAUUGUAUGUUCGUAAAAGGAAUAAUAAAAUAAAAUAUAAGGAAGUUGACGUAGAAUUGAAUUACGCGUAAGGGUUGGAUUAGUGAAGAGAUACAAUGGUGAUAUAAACGGUUGAUAGAGAUGAAUAAUGAGGAAUCCAUAAUGUGACGAAGAGUGAUGACGAAGAUAAUAUAUAUAUGUAAUUAAAUAAAUACGAUGAGAAAUGAUAAUGUUUAUAUGUUAGUGAUGAUGGUGAUGACGAUAACUAUAUCAGUAUGAUGAUGAUAGUAAUGAUGUUUAUCUAUGAUGAUGAUGAGGGUAGUGUGUAUAUAUAUAUAUAUAUAUUGACUAUGAGAAUGACGACGUAUAAUUAUGAUGAUGACUUGAAUGAUGGUGUCUAAUAUACAUUGAUGAUGAGAAUGACGAUGUUGACUUAUGAUGAUGAUGUGAAUGAUGAUGAUGUGUUUGUCUUGAUGUCGUGCAUAAUAGGAAGAGUCCGAAUUUAUGAUUCUGAUUUGUUGAUGAUGUUAUGAUCUUUUAAUACUUGAAGAGUCUGUCUCAUGCAUGCAUAUAGAGUCGUGUCUAGGAAUCAUGAUGACGAAAUGACGAUGAAAGUCCAGUAACAUAUCUCUGGCAAAUUAUGACGAUGAAAGUCCAGUAACAUACCUCUGGCAAAUUAUGACGAUAGGUGUGGUACCACAAUCAUAUAGGUCAUUAGGAGAGUCCAUAUGCAUAUAUAUGAUGAUGUUGUAUUGGGUGUUUGAGUGUGAAUAUGAUGUGCUGCUGUGACUUGUAAAAUGAAGAGAUUAUACAUAGUAAAUGUUGAGAAUGAUGAGAUAGUGGAGACUAUAUUCUUUUGAUAUUUAUUUAAUGUGCAUGCUUUUCUCUAUUAUUUUAUUAUGGCAGGAUUUCUCACCC